AUAUUCAUCGCAUAAUUAAUUCAUUUGUUAAAUUGCAGAUUUGAUGUUAGUAUGAAUUUU
rnacentral:tRNA from 1 species